UUCCUGAAGAAAGACAGAGCACACAGAAACCUGCUUCUCAGAAAAUGAGGGAGAUGCCUGCACCACUCCGUGGAUGGGGCAUCUCAGGGAAUAUAAAUGCUAUUGCUGUAAGGAUGAGGAGCCUGGAUGAGAAUCCUGUCCCAGGCACGAGCCCACACAUCACAGCAGCUUGAAACGCGACGCUGGGACAAUGAAGUGUCUGUUCUGUUUCUUUGUGCAAAUGCUGCAACUGUAAAAGAAAAAGCAGACCUUUCUGGAAGCAGUGGACAAGUUGUAGUGCAGCAGUCAGAUCUUGCAGGGACCUCUUGACAACAGAAACUCCACUGACAGUUAGAAUGGCUCCUGGGUGGCUUCACAGAGGUGCUUCUUUGCUAUCCCGCUGAAAUUCCUCACCCCAGAAACCACAACCUCAAAGGGCUCCGAGGCAGCAGAGAGGACGUGAACAAAGAGCUCCCUCCCUGCACUGCAGCUUGGAUCAGAUCCAAAACACUCACGGGCAGGAGGCAGACUGGAGACAUGCAGACAAGUAAUUUUUAGAAUAGACCUAGUUAUUAGCUGUUGCUUUCACUGGCACAACAUGCAGACACAAGCCUGUGAUUUUAGCCCAAUGGUGGCUUUUAUAAAAUGCCUUCUCUAAGUCUCCUUCCAUCAGAGCAGAGUGAACUGGCACAUGUUCCUCUGGGUCAUUCAGACCUGCAGAGAGAGACGUGCCCAAGCCUGUUUAUCAGGACAGCACAGAUCUUACAGCUGAAUCCCAUGUGUCCUGCAAAGUUAAAAUAUUCUUUAAACAAACAGGGAGACAGAGGAGUAUCCCUCAUUUUCCUCUUUUUACUACCAAUCUAUUUGUUUUUCUUAAGCUUUCAGUUCCUGAAGUCGGAAGCUUAUUAAAACCUUUGUUUAUUGAAGGUUUUUUUAGCACAAGGCUUUACAAACAAAACUCAGAGAGUUGUCUUUUUUUGGUAAUCUCAUAAUAUUACAGUCAAUCUCACAGUACUUAGAAUUAUGACUCACUAUUUUUGUAACCCUUGAACUUGGCAGCACAGGGACAAGCAGUAACAUGCCACGAGUUUGUUUGUCUCGUGGGUGGAACUUGAGCAAAGUCUGGGUCUUAUUGCAGUGUUACAGGCUUGGGGAGAAUAUAUUUAUCUCCACAACCGUAAAUAAGUAAAUAUAAUUAUCCAGUGUUAUACACAGUGAGAGAGAUCUGAGGUAGGUGUGAGUAAUGUUAUGAGAUAAGGAUAUAUAUAUAUAUAUAGUUUAUAUAUUUUGGUUUUUUCCCUGUGGCACGUAGCCCUAUUUUUGUCUGAACAAAGAACAGUAACUGGACUUGCUACACACCCUCAGAAGGCCUGACUGGCUGUCCCAAGCUAAACCCUGUAACUAAAGAUAAACAGCUUGCUUCAGUCCACAGUGCUCAUGGAAAAAUGAUCCCUCGUUGCUAGGACAUUAGCCUACAUGAAAAGCAGCCCCAGCUUGUGUUCCAGAAUGUACAGAUUCGUUGGAAACAUUUCCCUGACCCCAGAUUCUUCUCCUGAAAGUAGGUUGCUUUGUACUACUGCCCAGUGACCUACUUUUGAAACCACUUGGAAAGAAAUAUGUGUUCCCAACUGCAGGCCCCAUGCCCUGGCGAAGGCUGGAGCCACCUGUGCAGCCAGGCCAGUCACAAGAUACAGAUUUCUGGGUUUUAUCAGCUUUGCAUUUAUUUAUAUACAGUUCAGAGUCAGCUGCUUGAUGACUUUUAUUCACCAAGAGCUACUGGAGGAAGAGUGGAAUGUUUGUUAAAUACAUGUGCUUUGUACAAGCACAGCAGUUCCCACACCAUAGGAUUUAGCCAUUCUUAGGAACAAAAACAAACCACAAGGGAAGGCUCCUCUGCUUUUUGGUUUAUACAGAAAGGAAAAACUGACAGAAAUUUCUUCUUCUCUACCUACAAGGACAUUAAAAAGAGAGACAUGCACAGUGAAAUCCUUAAUACAAGUCUGUUGUGCUCAAACACUGCCCAGGCUUUACCACUGCCUGUGGUUCAUCUCCAGCUUUACAGACGUGGCAUUUCACAUUUGUAAAUAUUAGUUCCUCGUGUCCUCUCCAGACUCCAUGGCAGAAUCUGUCCCUGGAGCAGAGCCUGGGAUGUACAGCAUGCCCAGGCCAGCCUUGGAGCAAACAUUCAGUCCUCCUGGCACCACCAAACCAAACCAGCCUGGUGGAAAAACUGAGCAAAACUGGCAGCACAAAGCAUACAAAUGGGAAAUUGCCCAACUCUGCCUUUUGCCCUAAAUUUAUGCAGCCAAAUAAUAUUUCCAAGGUUGGCUAUUGCCAUGGAGCUGUUUCUGAACAUUCCAGUUACCAUUUUUCCCUCUUCCUGUUUCUACAGUGCAAAUAAUUACUGGUAGGAUGAUUUAUUUCCUUUUUACUGUAAACCAGGAGGUUCUAGAAACCCUGUUAGGAGAAAGGAAAGCAAAAGGGUUUUGUUUUUGUUGAGGUUUUUUGGUGAGUUUGUAUUUUUGUCUAGGUUUGAGGGGUUUUUUUAGGGGGAAAUAGAGCAGCUCUGUGCUGAAUCUUGCCAGUCACACAAGUGCUGAUGCUUUGUGAGGGGAGGAUUGAACAAGGUCAUCUGCCUUCACUGAAGGAGCAGCAGGUAAAGCUGCUAAAAAACACAUUAAAACCUUCUUGGA